rnacentral:sRNA from 1 species
AUCGCUUCUCGGCCUUUUGGCUAAGAUCAAGUGUUCGGUCUUUUGGCUCCGUAUAUUUUAGCCAAUUUAUAUAUCAAAUAUCUGUUGUUAUGUAAUAAAUUUUAUAUUGGAUUAUCCUUAAGGGUCUUGUGAAUCUGGC